rnacentral:sRNA from 1 species
GUCAAUUGAUGAAAUCAUGAAAUGUCCCUGUAGCUUAGUGAUAGGGAAGGACUUUUUAAAACCAACCUUCAUAAUCACAUAUCAAUGGCAAAUGUGUGUGUAUGGUGUGUGUGUGUGUGUGUGUGUGUGUGUCUGUCUGUCUGUCU